ensembl:lncRNA
AUCUGAGUGACCAGCAGGGGUGGAGCCUGGAUCCAUCCCUCCUCACCCUCAUUUAAGGGUUAGCAGUCAAGAGAGCACCAUUUCUUUGGAUAGAGGCUGCACUUCUCUCAAGCUGUCGCUGGGCAUCAGAUGGGGUUUCCUGACUUUCCCAAGGAUGACUGUAUCUCAGUGUGUGCGUGGCUGGAGAAAUCACAACUUUACACGUGGUAUUUCAGCUUGCAGUUCCAAGCACCUCAAUUUCCUUGUGUUCACCAGUUUUCCCUGAGUCAACCCAGCAGAGGGAUGGAGGCAGUCUGGGUUCCAUCUUGGGUUAUGCAGGGGUAAAAGAGCCUGUGGAGCAAGACGGAUCAAUUGUCUUUAGAGCUGGUCAGAUUCAUGGCAUCAGUGAACCAUUCCCAAAGCGGAGACCCACAUGUUGAGGCUGCCAGAAAGCACAGGAUCCUCUCCUGCCUCAGGACACCACACUGCUGCCCUGGGCAGAGCUCAUGUAGGAUCCCUGUGUGAGCAAAAUCCUAUCGCUGCCUUCGAACAAGCUCUAGAUUUGGUUGGAG